rnacentral:tRNA from 1 species
UCCCUGAUGAUCCAGUGGCUAAGACUCUGCACUCCCAAUGCGGGGGCCUGAGUUCAGUCCCUGGUCAGGGAA